AUUGAACGCUGGCGGCGUGCUCAACACAUGCAAGUCGAUCGGUAACGCGGGGGCAACCCUGGCGACGAGAGGCGGACGGGUGAGGAACGCUUGGGAAUCUGCCUAUCAGCGGGGGACAACACGGGGAAACUCGUGCUAAUACCGCAUACGCUCUACGGAGGAAAGCCGGGGACCGCAAGGCCUGGCACUGAUAGAUGAGCCCAAGCCGGAUUAGCUAGUUGGCGGGGUAACGGCCCACCAAGGCGACGAUCCGUAGCUGGUCUGAGAGGACGAUCAGCAACACUGGGACUGAGACACGGCCCAGACUCCUACGGGAGGCAGCAGUGGGGAAUAUUGGACAAUGGGGGAAACCCUGAUCCAGCGACGCCGCGUGGGUGAAGAAGGCCUGCGGGUUGUAAAGCCCUUUCGGUAGGGACGAAAGCUCUCGACCUAACACGUCGGGAGGUUGACUUAACCUACAAAAGAAGCACCGGCUAACUCUGUGCCAGCCGCCGCGGUAAAAC
rnacentral:rRNA from 1 species